rnacentral:sRNA from 1 species
GCCACAGGCAACGGCCCGAAGGGCGAGGCGCUUUAGCGCCGAGUAAUCCUUCCCCCACCACCA